CUUGCUACUGAAUGCUCUCGGGUUUUUUGUCGACAAUAAACUGUGCUGCUUUUAAGUUGACUUCUCCUGAUUUUUAUUCGACUGAGUUUUUGGACUUUUGGACCACGAGUGAAACUUAGUUUUCACACACAACAGGCUCCGCAGCUUUGUCGACAUACCUUGGUUCUGACAUACCUUGGCUAUGUGGCCGUCUUCGCAACAUCUAAAACAGAACCAGGCUCUAGGCUGAGGUUUCUGGGUGCUGUGCUACAGUUUUAGUUCAGCAAGCUGCUGCUUUAAACUUUCCGUCUCAGCGAUAUACAGUAUGCCUGGAGAAUGCUUGGACUUGGAUCACCAUAAGGAGACAUGUCAGGCACAGAAUGCACAUUUGCAGUGACUUUUGGUUUUGAGGCUCCAAAGUGACGGUGCAUUCGAUCCAACUUUGUUGCUCUUCUAUCCUCUUCUGUUUUUAGCCGUAAAAGUAGCUCUGCAAAGUCAAGGUGUUUCUCAGGUUUCAGCUCUAACAGCAUGAUGAGGUUGUGGUCCCAGCAGCCGCGUUUGAACUGUUUCAGCAGAUGAUGGCUUGCUGAUGACUGACUGACUCCAUUUCUCUUCACAGCAGUGCUGAGAAACACCUGAAGCCUUUGCAGAUAUUCUGAAGCCUUUUCACCCGAGUUUUGGUCCUCGGGUCCAGGCUCUGGCUCACCAUCACAAUCGACUCAUACAAAAAAAACAACCAGAGUUUUUCUUCUCAACAAAACACGAUAACACAGCAAUGUCCAGCACCCAAAAACAUCCCCACGGUGCAUCUGCUCUCAUCGACAUCGGUGUAAGGGAAAAAACAACCCAGCAGAAAAAAAACAAGGGACUGGGGCGUCCGUGGCUCAGCGGUAGAGCAGGUCGUCCAAUAACCAGAAGGUUGGCAGCUCAAUCCCCGCUCCCACUCGCCACGCCCGAGGUGCUCACCACGCCCCCCCCAACAUCCGCUCCCCAGGCACUGGCAACAGCAGCCCACCGCUCCAGCAUAUGUGUGUGCAUGGCAUCUGUCAUUGUGUGUUUCAUCCAGGUGCCAACUGGAUGGGUUAAAUGCGGAGAACAAUUUGUAAAAGUGUUAAACGUGACAAUAAAAGUAUAUCUUCUUCUUCUUCUAAGAGCACGGGUAGCGCUUGUGUGAGUGAAGGCGCACCCUGCUGGUGAAAACAAGGAACUAUACAACUACAAACUCAUUCAGACUGUAUAGCUCAACAUAGUUAAACUGGAAAUAUUUGGGAUUACACUGUGUGUGUAACUGAAGGGCAUUAUACAGAGUUAUCAAAAAAGGCAUUGUUCAUUAUUAAAGUUAUAAAUACAUUU